rnacentral:rRNA from 1 species
UACGUAGGGUGCAAGCGUUAAUCGGAAUUACUGGCGUAAAGCGUGCGCAGGCGGUUAUGUAAGACAGAUGUGAAAUGCCCGGGACUUAACCUGGGAACCUGCGAUUUGUGACUGCAUGGCUAGAGUUUGGCAGAGGGGGGUAGAAUUCCACGUGUAGCAGUGAAAUGACGUAGAUAUGUGGAGGAACACCGAUGGCGAAGGCAGCCCCCUGGGUCAAGACUGGACGCUACAUGACACGAAGCGUGGGAGCAAACGA